CCCCCCCUCCCUCCCUCCCCCCCUCCUCGCCGUGAGUCUGCCAUGACAGUCAAGGGCGGACCACCCCUGGCCACGACUUCCUGGGAGGCCUGGCUUGUCAAAGGGACUUGGGAAAACUACGUCUCUCCUUGCUCACGCUGCCUUGGGGUGCAACAGUAACAGUAGGACAGAAGACCCCCCAGAUGGAUGGAACGGGAGUUGUGGGAGAGGCCCCCUCGGAAACUAAACGGUUGGAGAAGGUCAAUCCGAUGGAGUGAAUACUGCAGACCUUUUCUUUCCAGCUUAAUGAGAUGAGAAAGGAGGUGGUGGCAUCCUGGAUGGCCGUCACAGAGCAGAGAGAUCAAAGACAGGCCUGAUCCCAGGGAGAAGCAGCAUCCAGGCUGACGGGUCGAGUGGUGUUUGCAGAUACGGCGGAAGGCACGAAGCAGCAAGGCACUUCUGCUUACCAGAAAGGACUGUUGGUGAGAAGCCAGUUGCAAGUGACUCCUGACAGGGGAGAGCUACACAUGAAGUUUAAUGAAAUGCAAAGAUACAGAAUGGGGGACGAUGCCUAACUUGACAGCAGUUCUUGUGAAAAAGAUCUUGGAGUCCUCGUGGACAAGAAGUUAAACAUGAGCCUACAAUGUGAUGCGACAGCAAACAAAAAGCCAAGGGGACUUUUGCCUGCAUAAAUAGGAGUCUAGUGUCUACAUCCAGGGAAGUCAUGUUCCCCUCUAUUCUGCCUUGGUCAGACCACACCUGGAAUCACAUUGUGUCCCAUUCUGGGCAAUGUAAUUGGAGGGAGAUGUUGACAAGCUGGAAUGUGUUCAGAGGAGGGCAACUAAAAUGAUCAAGGAUCUGGAGAACAAGCCCUACGAGGAGAGGCUUAAAGAACUGGGCAUGUUUAGCCUGCAGAAGAGAAGGCUGAGAGGAGACAUGAUGAGGGCCAUGUAUAAAUACGUGAAGGGAAGUCCUAGGGAGGAGGGAGCAAGCUUGUUUUCUGCUGCCCUGCAGACUAGGACGCAAUGGAGCAAUGCCUUCAAACUACAGGAAAGGAGAUUCCACCUGAACAUCAGGAAGAACUUCCUCACUGUGAGAAGGGCUGUUCGGCAGUGGAACUCUCUCUCUGCCCCGGACUGUGGUGGAGGCUCCUUCCUUGGAGUCUUUUAAGCAGAGGCUGGAUGGCCAUCUGUCGGGGGUGCUUUGAAUGCGAUUUCCUGCUUCUUGGCAGAAAGGGGUUGGACUGGGUGGCCCAUGAGGUCUCUUCCAACUCUAUGAUCCUAUGACCCAACGCAGCUCUCUUACUUCGCAACAAACGUGAGGCAUUUUAUAAAGGACAAUGGUGAUCAUUUCCCUUCGGGAAGGGUUAGGAUCCGUGCUGUAGGGGCCAAUUUAAAAAGCCCCGCUGCAGAUUGGCUGAUGCAGAUGUAGGACACCAGGGCGAGGGGAUGACUUCCUGAGGGCCUUGAGGGAUAGGUUCCAGGACCCCUUGGCUGAAGCGAAGGCCAAAGGAGAGUUAAAGAGAUUUACCAAGGGAGUAAGACGGUGUCUGAAUACACUUUGGAUUUUAUGCUGUGAUUCUAUGUCUCAGGGGAAAAGGGGAGUUUUGUGUAAUGUAUGUGUCCAUUGUGAUGACAUAGGAAUUUUGUCCGCAGUUCGGGCUGUGUCAAAGGUUAUGGCUGGUGUAGAAAUGUUUUAUUAAUGACAGAAAGAGAUACAUUAUUAUAAUAAUAAGACUUUAUUUCUCUUUCGCCCUCUCUAUCUCCCCGAAGGGACUCGGGACAGAUUCCAACAAACAACAGCAUACAUUCGAUGCCUUCAAAAAACAGAUAAAUCUUGGCAUAAAAUCCCAACAAGACACCACAAAUGAAUACAGCGUUAAAAACCUAGCAUCCAAUUAAACCUAUUAUCACUGGACUGAAUAUAACAUCAAUAACCUAAACCAAUACAUUCUGACGGAAUCAGGCAAGAAUUAUAUAGUGACAUAAAAUCUAAAUAAACGUUCACAGUAAUUUACAAAAGCCAACGGAAGUUCAACACAGUUGUGUGGGUUGGAUUAUGUGGCCUAUGGUGGGAAAUUGGGCUGAAGUACGUAGACUAUCAGAGCCCAGACACAGCGUAGUUCUCAACCAGGAUCCAGAAUUAAUCCUCCUCCUCAUCUCCAUAUGCUAAUGACCAGAAGAAGGUCUUUAGUUGACUGCAGUACCCGGGCUAGUUUGUAAGAGGGGAUGCGAUCGGUCAAGUAGCCUGGACCCAAGGCAUUUUGGGCUUUAAAGGUACUGACCAGCACCUUGUAUUUAGCCCGGAAGGAGACCAGCAUCCCAUGGAGUUAAAUCACUGACCUGCUGAACUUAUUGACUGAAAGGUUGGAGGUUUGAAUCUGGAGAGAGGUGUGAGCUCCCGCUGUUAGCCCCAGCUUCUGCCAACCUAGCAUUUCAAAAACAUACAAAUGUGAAUAGAUCAAUAGGUACCGCUCUGGUGGGAAGGUAACGGCGCUCCAUGCAGUCAUGCCAGCGGCCACAUUACCUUGGAGGUGUCUAUGGACAACGCCGGCUCUUCGGCUUAGAAAUGGAGAUGAGCACCACUCCCCAGAGUCAGACUCGACUAGACUUAACAUCAAGGGCAAACCUUUACCUUUGGAUCCUACUGGGAACAUAUCUAUCUUAUUCAUUGGAAGUUUAUCAUUUUUCCAAGCAUGUCAUUGUUGAGGUCAAAUGACCUCCUUUUUAAUCCCCCCCCCCAAUUUUCCCCAUUAGACACAAUUCUUAUCCAUUUAUUAGACUCUCUAAUCUGGCCCAUCUUUUGGGCUCGCCAAUGUCCAGUUCAAGUAACCUGGCCAACUGGCAAGGUUCAAAGUAGUUUUGGAGGCAAGGUUCUCCCCAGGCUCCACUUUCUUGUGGAGUAAAGAAUACUGAAAUAGCGAUUCUGUUCUUACUGGAGCCAACUCUCCACGUUUUGAUUGAAUUGACUCAUUUUUUGAUUGUUUUAGGUGGGAUGCAAAAUGGGAGGGUUUGGAAUAAGUAUAAAAAUUUAGGUAAUAUCAUUUUGAUGCCUUCAGCCUAGUUGUAAUGU